GUGAGGAAUUUUCCGCAAUGGGCGAAAGCCUGACGGAGCAAUGUCGCGUGAAGGAUGACGGCCUAUGGGUUGUAAACUUCUUUUCUCAGAAAAGAAUUAUGACGGUAUCUGAGGAAUAAGCAUCGGCUAACUCUGUGCCAGCAGCCGCGGUAAGACAGAGGAUGCAAGCGUUAUCCGGAAUGAUUGGGCGUAAAGCGUCUGUAGGUUGUUUAAAAAGUAUUCUGUCAAAGAUUAGGGCUUAACCCUAGAUAGGCAGAAUAAACUUUUAAGCUAGAGUUUGGUAGAGGCAGAGGGAAUUCCCGGUGGAGCGGUGAAAUGCGUAGAUAUCGGGAGGAACACCAAAGGCGAAGGCACUCUGCUGGGCCAAUACUAACACUGAGAGACGAAAGCGAGGGGAGCAAAUGGGAUUAGAAACCCCAGUAGUCC
rnacentral:rRNA from 1 species